UACAGAGGGUGCAAGCGUUAAUCGGAGUUACUGGGCGUAAAGGGCGCGUAGGCUGGUAUUUUAGUCGAUUGUGAAAUCCCUGGGCUUAACCUGGGAAUUGCAGUCGAUACUGAAUAUCUUGAGUAUGGUAGAGGAAAGUGGAAUUCUCGGUGUAGUGGUUAAAUACGUAGAUAUCGAGAAGAACAUCGGUGGCGAAGGCGACUUUCUGGGCCAAUACUGACGCUGAGGCGCGAAAGCGUGGGGAGCAAACAGG
rnacentral:rRNA from 1 species